UACAGGGGGUGCAAACGUUGCUCGGAAUCAUUGGGCGUAAAGCGCACGUAGGCGGUUCGUUAUGUCGGAUGUGAAAGCCCUUGGCUUAACCGAGGAAGUGCAUCCGAAACUGGCGAGCUAGAGUACUAAAGAGGAUCGCGGAAUUCCCGGUGUAGAGGUGAAAUUCGUAGAUAUCGGGAGGAACACCUGUGGUGUAGACGGCUUUCUGGACCAUAGCUGACGCUGAGACACGAAAGCGUGGGUAGCAAACAGG
rnacentral:rRNA from 1 species